rnacentral:rRNA from 1 species
GCUUUAGACCUCAAAUCAGAUAGGACUACCCGCUGAACUUAAGCAUAUCAAUAAGCGGAGGAAAAGAAACUAMCAAGGAUUCCCCCAGUAACGGCGAGUGAAGUGGGAAAAGCUCAACUUUAAAWUCUGGCAGCUUCGCUGUCCGAGUUGUAGUCUCGAGAAGUGUUUUCCGCGUUGGCACGUGUAUGAGUCUGUUGGAAUACAGCGUCAUAGAGGGUGAGAACCCCGUUCAUGACACGUUCACCAAUGCUUUGUGAUACACUUUCGAUGAGUCGAGUUGUUUGGGAAUGCAGCUCAAAAUGGGUGGUAAAUUCCAUCUAAAGCUAAAUAUUGGCGAGAGACCGAUAGCAAMCAAGUACCGUGAGGGAAAGAUGAAAAGCACUUUGGAAAGAGAGUUAAAAGUACGUGAAAUUGUUGAAAGGGAAACGCUUGAAGUCAGACGUGCGCGGUACUUGUACCACUGCAGGCCAGCAUCGGUUAUACGAGCCGGAUAAAGGUUAAUGGAAGGUAGCAGUCUCGGCUGUGUUAUAGCCUAUAACUGAAUACGGAUUGUAUGACCGAG